AGGUAGCUUCAACUGCAGUGGAUGUGAGGACAGCUUUGCAGGUUCCUGCAUCUCCAAGACUGAUCGUCCUAGGUGAUGUUCUCUCCACGUGCCGUGUAUGGAGGGCUAGGCGGUCAUGGGUCCACACCAGCAUAUCGUGGCUGGACUGGCGGCACUCUUCACGUCCUAUGUGCUGAACCUGGUUUACCAACAGGAGGCCUCAAACGCACUGCAGUUCAUUCAAAGAUGUUUUGUUGGGAUAAACCUAGCAACGGGCACCAAGGGAACAAGCCAUCAGAAGCGAAGCGGAGUGAACACACGCGUCUCUGGUCUUCCUAAAAAGAUCAUGAACUUUGAAUGGUUGUAAGUCUGUAAGCCAAUGUCAUUUGAUUAUUUAUCUUUUUAAAUGUUUUUGAAUUUUUUGAAUAGACAUACAGUAUAUGUAUACAGCUUGUGUAAUCUUUUGAACUUUUUGUUAGCAAAAAAGUUAAUACUGUAUAUACAACUCCUUUAAUGGACGUUUUUGGGAAAAAAUAUUAAGUUUUUAUAUGUACCGGUGCCUCAAGCUCUUCAUGACAUCGAAAAAGGUUUGCAGAAUGAGAUUUGUAAAGCCAAGUUUGCUGUAACGCUGGAGCCAUGUGUCUGUCUUAUCUCGUGCUUGCGUUGAGCUUGUGGGCGUGACACGUCAUUGAUAACUGAUGUUUUAGCCCAAUGGUUCCCAACCCCUGCUGGUACGGGGCCCCAUUUUGACAUCCUACAUUUCUGUGGACCCCAUAAAUGAAACAAAAAUUAAAACAUGACU